rnacentral:lncRNA from 1 species
UUUUUGUGUUCUGUUAAAUUGUUCCUUUUAAAAUUGUUAUACGAUGAUGACUGAUGUACCCAUAUUUUGACUAUUUUAUUUAUUGUGUCUGUUUAGUUAACGCAUCAAUGUAAAUAUAACGGAAUUUGAUGAGACUGUCAUCAAAAUGAGAGGGUUAGCGCUAUAAAACCAGGUUUAAUCCACCAUUUUCUACAUUUGAAAAUGCCUGUACCAAGUCAGGAAUAUGACAGUUCUUGUCCAUUCGUUUUUGAUGCGUUUUGUUAUUUGAUUUUGCCAU